rnacentral:rRNA from 1 species
UACGUAGGGUGCGAGCGUUAAUCGGAAUUACUGGGCGUAAAGCGUGCGCAGGCGGUCUGUUAAGACCGAUGUGAAAUCCCCGGGCUUAACCUGGGAACUGCAUUUGUGACUGCAUCGCUGGAGUACGGCAGAGGGGGAUGGAAUUCCGCGUGUAGCAGUGAAAUGCGUAGAUAUGCGGAGGAACACCGAUGGCGAAGGCAGCCCCCUGGGCCAACACUGACGCUCAGGCACGAAAGCGUGGGGAGCAAACAGG